rnacentral:rRNA from 1 species
CCCCCCCUACGGGAGGCAGCAGUAGGGAAUCUUCCGCACUGGACGAAAGUCUGACGGAGCAACGCCGCGUGAGUGAUGAAGGUUUUUGGAUCGUAAAGCUCUGUUGUUAGGGAAGAACAAGUACCGUUCGAAUAGGGCGGUACCUUGACGGUACCUAACCAGAAAGCCACGGCUAACUACGUGCCAGCAGCCGCGGUAAUACGUAGGUGGCCAGCGUUGUCCGGAAUUAUUGGGCGUAAAGGGCUCGCAGGCGGUUUCUUAAGUUUGAUGUGAAAGCCCCCGGCUCAACCGGGGAGGGUCAUUGGAAACUGGGGAACUUGAGUGCAGAAGAGGAGAGUGGAAUUCCACGUGUAGCGGUGAAAUGCGUAGAGAUGUGGAGGAACACCAGUGGCGAAGGCGACUCUCUGGUCUGUAACUGACGCUGAGGAGCGAAAGCGUGGGGAGCGAACAGGAUUAGAUACCCUGGUAGUCCACGCCGUAAACGAUGAGUGCUAAGUGUUAGGGGGUUUCCGCCCCUUAGUGCUGCAGCUAAC